CUCGUUCAAAAAUCAUAACACCGCCGCGGCCGCCACGUUUACCAGCCGGAGCCUCAAAUCAUGUCCCUUUGUGGUGAUAAAGAGGACACAGCCUGGUGUGAAGCUACAUUUAUUACGGAAGGAUGCCAGCCGGGAUCCGAACACGUCCGAUAUCAUCCAAGAGAAUGUGGCAGCUGAAGGGGGAGAGGCCAAGAAAGAGGCCAAGGGUGAAGACAUUUAGCCACCCCCCCUGAAGUACAUGGCAUCAUUCAACCCUCUUGGUGUGAACUUGAUGGGGUUGGAGGAAACUCGACUUGGCCAUCAAGCUCACCACAAUAUAACAUGAAAAGUGAAAAUUGCUGCACACAACAGUCUGUCGUCUGCACCGGGAGGCAAGGCAGCUCAAAGCCCAGGCUGUUACAAAUCCUGGGCAGUUUUUGCCUAGAGCCAGCAAUUUUUUAGAUCCAAUAGGGAUGGAUUUUUUCUGAGGUCAGGUUCAACAUGCUGCAAGAUGCCAAGAUCUAAGCCUAGUAGGAGAUAUGGGUUACAAGAGAGGAGGUUUGCUCUGGCCUUAUACUAUCAAAGUCCAAAUGCUAAUAGAUUUCUGAGCACAGUAUUUCACUUGUCUUCAGUUUCAACACUUCAAUCAUGACUCAGGGGUAUUUCAGUACAUGUUGGCUGGAGCAAACAGACUCUGACAGCCCUGCAGCAAAAGCACAGGCUUUGUCAAAAGAGAAACUUCGUGGGAUUUGCCAUUAUUUAGUAUUACUCUUGUUACGCCAAGAAUUUUUUUCCAUAUACUUUGCCAAAUAUUGCAAGUAAUGCACCAUUGUUGGGCUUGCUUGUUAUAAAUCAGAUCUUGUUCAAUUAACAAGCUUUGGGUGUCUGCCACUUUCCAGCUGUAAUGCAAGGAAUCAUUUAUCUUCCCUGCUAGAUAUCACACGUAAUGCACCAUUGUUGGUUUUGCCUGUUAUAAAUCAGAUCUUGUUCAGUUAAAAAGCUUUAGGUGUCUGCCACUUUCCAAUUGUAAUGCAAGGAAUCCCCUGCCAGAUAUCGCAUGUAAUGCACCAUUGUUGGUUUUGCCUAUUAUAAAUCAGAUCUUGUUCAGCUCACAAGCUUUGAAUAUCUGCCAUUGUUUAUUUCAGGUGUAAUGCUUGGAAGCAUUUGUUCUCUUCCCUACCCAACAGUAUGCAAUGCUUUAUUGUGGAUUUUGCCUGUUAUAUUUAAUCUUGUUCAGGUAACAAGCUUUUGGUGUCUGCCUUACCUAAUAUGUCCUGCAGUGACACUUGGCUUGGUUUCAUAAUGUGAAAUACAGCAUGUAAUUUCAUCACACUAAGUGUCUAUCAUCACGUGUCUGGCAUCAUUAAUGAGGCUUCCAGGAGUAAUCUUGUUUGUAUUACAGCUUGCAAAUUUUUUUCUGCUUUAUAUGAUAUACAUAAUCACAUAGGUAUGAUUUACAAAAUGUAAUGGCAGUUGAUAUUCUUGACUAAUGCCUCAUAAACCUUGUGAAAAAUAAUGCUUUUUUGAAGG